rnacentral:misc_RNA from 1 species
AAGUAACUCCCCUGUUCUUGAGCAGGGUGCUACUCAACCCGUGUAUACCUUACCUUUGUUGCUUUGGCGGGCCGCCUUCAGGCGUUGGCUCCGGUUGACAGCGCUCGCCAAAGGACCCAAACUCUUUUGUUUAGUGAUGUCUGAGUACUAUAUAAUAGUUA